UACGUAGGGUGCAAGCGUUAAUCGGAAUUACUGGGCGUAAAGCGUGCGCAGGCGGUUGUGCAAGACAGAUGUGAAAUCCCCGGGCUUAACCUGGGAACUGCAUCUGUGACUGCACAGCUGGAGUGCGGCAGAGGGGGAUGGAAUUCCGCGUGUAGCAGUGAAAUGCGUAGAUAUGCGGAGGAACACCGAUGGCGAAGGCAAUCCCCUGGGCCUGCACUGACGCUCAUGCACGAAAGCGUGGGGAGCAAACAGG
rnacentral:rRNA from 1 species